rnacentral:rRNA from 1 species
GACGAACGCUGGCGGCGUGCGUAACACAUGCAAGUCGAACGAGAGAGUGAGAGAAGCUUGCUUUUCUUACAAUCGAGUGGCAAACGGGUGAGUAACGCGUAAACAACCUGCCCCGCAGAUGGGGACAACAGCUGGAAACGGCUGCUAAUACCGAAUACGCUCCUCUUAGCGCAUGGUAAGAGGAAGAAAGGGUGGCCUCUGGAACAAGCUACCGCUGUGGGAGGGGUUUGCGUCUGAUUAGCUGGUAGGAGGGGUAACGGCCCACCAAGGCGACGAUCAGUAGCCGGUCUGAGAGGAUGAACGGCCACAUUGGAACUGAGACACGGUCCAGACUCCUACGGGAGGCAGCAGUGGGGAAUCUUCCGCAAUGGGCGAAAGCCUGACGGAGCAACGCCGCGUGAGUGAAGACGGCCUUCGGGUUGUAAAGCUCUGUUAUAGGGGACGAACGGCCGGGUAGCGAAGAGGUAGCCGG